rnacentral:rRNA from 1 species
GAUAAACGCUGGCGGCGUGCAUAACACAUGCAAGUCGAACGAUGAAACUUAGAUGAUUUCUUCGGAAUGAACUUAAGCGGAUUAGUGGCGAACGGGUGAGUAACACGUGAGUAACCUGCCUUACACAAGGGGAUAGCCUUUGGAAACGAAGAAUAAUACCCUAUAACGUCAAUUUAUCGCAUGAUAGAAUGACCAAAGAUUUAUCGGUGUAAGAUGGACUUGCGUCUGAUUAGCUAGUUGGUGAGAUAAAGGCCCACCAAGGCAACGAUCAGUAGCCGGCUUGAGAGAGUGUACGGCCACAUUGGGACUGAGACACGGCCCAAACUCCUACGGGAGGCAGCAGUGGGGAAUUUUGCACAAUGGGGGAAACCCUGAUGCAGCGACGCCGCGUGAUUUAGAAGGCCUUCGGGUUGUAAAAAUCUUUUUUAUGGGAUGAAAAUGACAGUACCAUAAGAAUAAGGUCCGGCUAAAUACGUGCCAGCAGCCGCGGUAAUACGUAUGGACCGAGCGUUGUCCGGAAUCAUUGGGCGUAAAGGGUACGUAGGCGGCCCAGUAAGUUAGAAGUGAAAUAAUAUAGCUCAACUAUAUAAAGCUUUUAAAACUGCUAGGCUUGAGAGAUGGAAGGGAAAGUGGAAUUCCUAGUGUAGCGGUGAAAUGCGCAGAUAUUAGGAAGAAUACCGGUGGCGAAGGCGACUUUCUGGUCAUCAUCUGACGCUGAGGUACGAAAGCGUGGGUAGCAAACAGGAUUAGAUACCCUGGUAGUCCACGCUGAAACGAUGAGUGUUAGGUUCUUGGAAUAAUCUGGGAGCCGCAGCUAACGCAUUAAACACUCCGCCUGGGGAGUACGCACGCAAGUGUA